AUGACUGUACUCAAAAGAAUCAUUUCUAUAGGUCAGUCUCCGCUUUGUUUAUCCAAAACAAGGCAAACCCACCGAUUCCGAUGAGGACGUGAAAGUUGGCAGAGCAGUGAUGGUUUUCAGUGUUUGGACAUGCCCUGUGCUGUCUAGCUCUGAUUCGAUGACCUGCGUCUUCUUUUUCGAAAGAAAGCGACUCUGCCGACGAUCCUGAGGAAC
rnacentral:snoRNA from 1 species